rnacentral:rRNA from 1 species
CAGCCGCCGCGGGAAUACGUAGGGUGCGAGCGUUAAUCGGAAUUACUGGGCGUAAAGCGUGCGCAGGCGGUUGUGCAAGACAGAUGUGAAAUCCCCGAGCUUAACUUGGGAACUGCAUUUGUGACUGCACGGCUAGAGUGUGUCAGAGGGGGGUAGAAUUCACGUGUAGCAGUGAAAUGCGUAGAUAUGUGGAGGAAUACCGAUGGCGAAGGCAGCCCCCUGGGAUAACACUGACGCUCAUGCACGAAAGCGUGGGGAGCAAACAGGAUUAGAUACCCCCGUAGUCCCUGUCUCUUAUACA